rnacentral:rRNA from 1 species
GACGAACGCUGGCGGCGUGCCUAAUACAUGCAAGUCGAGCGAAGUUUUUCUGGUGCUUGCACUAGAAAAACUUAGCGGCGAACGGGUGAGUCACACGUAAAGAACCUGCCUCAUAGACUGGGACAACUAUUGGAAACGAUAGCUAAUACCGGAUAACAGUAUUUCUCGCAUGAGAGAUAUUUAAAAGUUGGUUAUGCUAACACUAUGAGAUGGCUUUGCGGUGCAUUAGCUAGUUGGUGGGGUAAAGGCCCACCAAGGCGACGAUGCAUAGCCGACCUGAGAGGGGGAUAGGCCACACUGGGACGGAGACACGGCCCAGACUCCUACGGGAGGCAGCAGUAGGGAAUCUUCCGCAAUGGGCGAAAGCCUGACGGAGCAACGCCGCGUGAGUGAGGAAGGAUUUCGGUUCGUAAAGCUCUGUUGUUAGGGAAGAAUGGAUAUGUAGUAACUAUACAUGUAAGAGACGGUACCUAACCAGAAAGCCACGGCUAACUACGUG